CGCACUUUGUACCGUUUUGUUCCCUUUAACCACUUCGCUGUGUUUGUCUGUGAUCCUCCUAACGCUUGCGUAUCUGAAUAUUUACAGAAAACUUUGUCUGGCCUAAAGGAAGUGUGUCACGUGACAGUAACAAGAGUUGCAGGUAUCGAUCUGAGGAGUCAGACAAUGUGAAAGGACAGAAGAACAGUCAGACCAAAUUCAUUCAACAAGAGAAAAAAAUAGA